UACGUAGGGUGCAAGCGUUGUCCGGAAUUAUUGGGCGUAAAGCGCGCGUAGGCGGUUACUUAAGUCGGAUGUGAAAGCCCUCGGCUUAACUGAGGAAGUGCACCCGAAACUGAGUAGCUGGAGUACGAAAGAGGGUCGCGGAAUUCCCGGUGUAGAGGUGAAAUUCGUAGAUAUCGGGAGGAACACCGGUGGCGAAGGCGGCGACCUGGGUCGAGACUGACGCUGAGGCGCGAAAGCGUGGGGAGCAAACAGG
rnacentral:rRNA from 1 species